rnacentral:rRNA from 1 species
AAAGCGUGCGCAGGCGGUUUUGUAAGACUGUCGUGAAAUCCCCGGACUCAACCUGGGAAUGGCGAUGGUGACUGCAAGGCUAGAGUUUGGCAGAGGGGGGUAGAAUUCCACGUGUAGCAGUGAAAUGCGUAGAUAUGUGGAGGAACACCGAUGGCGAAGGCAGCCCCCUGGGUCAAAACUGACGCUCAUGCACGAAAGCGUGGGGAGCAAACAGGAUUAGAUACCCCUGU